UAAGGAAUAUUGGUCAAUGGAGGCAACUCUGAACCAGCCAUGCCGCGUGCAGGAAGACAGCCCUCUGGGUCGUAAACUGCUUUUAUUCGGGAAUAAACCCAUCUACGUGUAGAUGGCUGAAUGUACCGAAGGAAUAAGGAUCGGCUAACUCCGUGCCAGCAGCCGCGGUAAUACGGAGGAUCCAAGCGUUAUCCGGAUUUAUUGGGUUUAAAGGGUGCGUAGGCGGCUUAUUAAGUCAGGGGUGAAAGACGGUGGCUCAACCAUCGCAGUGCCUUUGAUACUGAUGAGCUUGAAUAUACUAGAGGUAGGCGGAAUGUGACAAGUAGCGGUGAAAUGCAUAGAUAUGUCACAGAACACCGAUUGCGAAGGCAGCUUACUAUGGUAUUAUUGACGAUGAGGCACGAAAGCGUGGGGAUCAAACAGG
rnacentral:rRNA from 1 species